ACCACUCGACCGGCGAUGACGCCGCGUCCCUAAACAUUUCCUGCACCGUGAUUUCAGCAAAGUACCUCCGAUUGUUCCCACAUGAUCCGAAAAGGUCCAAGUCUGUGCGUCGUACCUUCUUGUUGGGGAUUCCCGGUUGUGCAGUGUCCUACUUGGCUGCGACGACAAGCCCUGAUGAUCAUUGACUGCGCCGGUGGGGGCGGCGGUAAAUGAAAGUGGAAAAAAUACCGCCGCGGGAGAUUUUAUCUCUUCGGAAACUGUGUGACUACGACUCUGUAGGCGGUCGUCACGAAUAUCGGGGUGAAAGGAAGGAGAGGAAAGAGACAGCGAAUGAAAUGGUAUCGUCCUUGUGUUCGUCUUCUUCGUCGUCAUCGUCGUCGCCGCCGCUCAAUCAGAAACGCAAACACCCCGAUUACGAGCUGAGCUUUCCAGGGAUGCAAUGGUCCACAUACAGACACUUGUCACUAUCGCUUUCCUCGCCUCUUCAUACGGCCUAUCGACUCUAAUUCUUUAUCCAACUUUACCAAACCUCAAGCAAACUGAACUCUCCAACUCUAAGCUUGAUACAAUCUUUUACCACGUCUCCCAGUGACGCGCAGAUAUUGUAUCUUCAUCUCCCGUUUAUUGUUCGAUGCUUCGACGCAUUUCUAAAUUAUAGGCUUGAUUCGUUGCGUAACUUGUUGGAGAAAUCGUAUUAUUUGAUUUUGAUACAAGUGAUCGGAAUAACAGUUUCUAGUAUCGGGUGAAACGAAGUUUUUUGAAACUAAGGCAGCAGUAAACAAUCGCCACAUUUGUUAAAUUCAUCGGAACGCGGAAAACAGGUAAUAACUUGGAUCAAUUGGGCUGUCUUACAAUCGUUUGGGCAGCUUUGCUUGAAAUCAGAUCUUCACUUAUGUCCAAAUGGUGGAAUUUAUACAAUUUCUUAAUAAUUUUCAACCAGGUACACCUUCUACAUCACGUUGAAGUUAGUAACGUUAUCCCAACGAUUCGCGUUGGAAAAAAACCAUUAUUUCGCAAUUUUGGAACUGUUUGAAAUUCAGUAUACGACGUUACUAAAAUUUAAUCUCGUUAGAUAGACGGAUGAAAUUUAUUUAUUCUAAAUUUCGCAAGGUGAAUGUACUAAA